rnacentral:rRNA from 1 species
GGAGGUAGUGACAAUAAAUCACAAUGCGGGACUAUACGUCUUGCAAUUGGAUUGAGAACAAUGUACAACUCUUAUCGAUAAGCCAUUGGAGGGCAAGUCUGGUGCCAGCAGCCGCGGUAAUUCCAGCUCCAAUAGCGUAUAUUAACGUUGUUGCAGUUAAAAAGCUCGUAGUUGAAGUGUGGGUGAUCGCUGUUGUGAGACUUCGGUCUCUCGAUAGUAAGUCACCCCCUUCCAGUAUCCAGUAGUGGGUAUUCAGUUACUUACUAUUGUGUGUUGGUCCUUUACUGUGAGAAAAUUAGAGUGUUCAAAGCAGGCGUUUGCUUGAAUAGAUUAGCAUGGAAUAAUAAUUGAAGGCUUUCGUGUUCGAUUUGAUUGGUUUGUUCAUGGAAGCAAGGUUAAAAGGAACAGUUGGGGGUAUUCAUAUUCACUAGUUAGAGGUGAAAUUCUCGGAUUUAUGGAAGAUGAACAAGUGCGAAAGCA